rnacentral:rRNA from 1 species
UACGAAGGGUGCAAGCGUUGUUCGGAAUUACUGGGCGUAAAGGGUUCGUAGGUGGCUUGCUAAGUCAGACGUGAAAUCCCUCAGCUUAACUGGGGAACUGCGUCUGAUACUGGCGAGCUUGAGUGCAGGAGAGGAACGCGGAAUUCCAGGUGUAGCGGUGAAAUGCGUAGAUAUCUAGAGGAACACCGGUGGCGAAGGCGGCGUUCUGGACUGCAACUGACACUGAUGAACGAAAGCCCAGGGGAGCAAACGGG